GUGGACACCAGAAGCGGAGGCUCCUUUUGAUUCGGGUGUGGGUGCAGUGCUCUCCCAAAGGUCAUCUGAGGACAAGAAGAUCCGUCCUUGUGCCUUUUUCACUCGACGUCUGCCUCCAUCCGAGAGAAAUUAUGAUGUGGGGACCGAGAACUGUUGGCCAUAAAACUGACCCUGGAGGAGUGGAGACACUGGUUGAAGAUGUAAGGAGUUUGUUUCUGCCUGUCCAACCUGUGCCCAAAAUAAGUGGUGAACCCCCCCACCAAUCUGGGUUACUCCAACCUCUACCUACUCCAGGCCAAUCUUGGUCACACAUUGCUUUGGAUUUUGUUUCCGGACUUCCUCCAUCUCAUGGUAACACUGCAAUUUUGACCGUUGUAGAUCGUUUUUUCCAAAGCCGUGCAUUUCAUUUCCCUUCCUAGGUUACCUACUGCUAUGGAGACCACACGACUAAACAUGUGGUCCAUGUCCAUGGGAUUCCUCUGGACAUUGUGUCCAAUCGUGGGCCUCAGUUCAUCUUGCAGGUAUGGAGGUCUUUUUGUAACGGCCUGGGAGCUAAAGUCAGCCUCACAUCCAGAUAUCAUCCACAAUCAAAUGGACAAACAGAGAGAAGCAACCAGGAACUUGAGGCUGACCUAUGGUGUGUCGUGAGUAAUAACCCCUCAAUGCGGAGUCAGCAUCUUACCUGGGUAGAAUAUGCUCACAACACACACAC